rnacentral:rRNA from 1 species
GAUGAACGCUAGCGGCAGGCCUAAUACAUGCAAGUCGGACGGGAUCCAUUGAUAGCUUGCUAUCAAUGGUGAGAGUGGCGCACGGGUGCGUAACGCGUGAGCAACCUGCCUCCAUCAGGGGGAUAGCCUCUCGAAAGAGAGAUUAACACCGCAUAAUAUCAACAGUUCGCAUGUUCAGUUGAUUAAAUAUUUAUAGGAUGGAGAUGGGCUCGCGUGACAUUAGCUAGUUGGUAGGGUAACGGCUUACCAAGGCGACGAUGUCUAGGGGCUCUGAGAGGAGAAUCCCCCACACUGGUACUGAGACACGGACCAGACUCCUACGGGAGGCAGCAGUAAGGAAUAUUGGUCAAUGGGCGGAAGCCUGAACCAGCCAUGCCGCGUGCAGGAUGACUGCCCUAUGGGUUGUAAACUGCUUUUGUCCAGGAAUAAACCUAAAUACGAGUAUUUAGCUGAAUGUACUGGAAGAAUAAGGAUCAGCUAACUCCGUG